UACGGAGGAUCCAAGCGUUAUCCGGAAUCAUUGGGUUUAAAGGGUCCGUAGGCGGUUUGAUAAGUCAGUGGUGAAAGCCCAUCGCUCAACGGUGUGAACGGCCAUUGAUACUGUUAAACUUGAAUUAUUAGGAAGUAACUAGAAUAUGUAGUGUAGCGGUGAAAUGCUUAGAGAUUACAUGGAAUACCAAUUGCGAAGGCAGGUUACUACUAAUGGAUUGACGCUGAUGGACGAAAGCGUGGGUAGCGAACAGG
rnacentral:rRNA from 1 species